rnacentral:rRNA from 1 species
AUGCGAGUCAUUGUAGCAAUACAAGGCAGACGGCUCAGUAACGCGUAGUCAAUCUACCCUAUGGACGGGAAUAACCUCGGGAAACUGAGAAUAAUGCCCGAUAGAACAUUAUGCCUGGAAUGGUUUAUGUUUCAAAUGAUUUAUCGCCAUAGGAUGGGACUGCGGCCUAUCAGUUUGUUGGUGAGGUAAUGGCCCACCAAGACUAUUACAGGUACGGGCUCUGAGAGGAGUAGCCCGGAGAUGGGUACUGAGACACGGACCCAGGCCCUAUGGGGCGCAGCAGGCGAGAAAACUUUGCAAUGUGCGAAAGCACGACAAGGUUAAUCCGAGUGGUUUCUGCUAAAGAAACCUUUUGUCAGUCCUAGAAACACUAACGAAUAAGGGGUGGGCAAGUUCUGGUGUCAGCCGCCGCGGUAAAACCAGCACCUCAAGUGGUCAGGAUGAUUAUUGGGCCUAAAGCAUCCGUAGCUCGUUUUGUAAGUUUUCGGUUAAAUCCAUGCGCUUAACGUAUGGGCUGCCGGGAAUACUGCAUAACUAGGAAGUGGGAGAGGUAGACGGUACUCGGGAGGAAGGGGUAAAAUCCUUUGAUCUCUUGAUGACCACCUGUGGCGAAGGCGGUCUACCAGAACACGUUCGACGGUGAGGGAUGAAAGCUGGGGGAGCAAACCGGAUUAGAUACCCGGGUAGUCCCAGCUGUAAACUAUGCAAACUCAGUGAUGCAUUGGCUUAUGGCCAAUGCAGUGCUGCAGGGAAGCCGUUAAGUUUGCCGCCUGGGAAGUACGUACGCAAGUAUGAAACUUAAAGGAAUUGGCGGGGGAGCACCACAAGGGGUGAAGCCUGCGGUUCAAUUGGAGUCAACGCCG